rnacentral:rRNA from 1 species
AUACGUAGGGGGCAGGCGUUGUCCGGAUUUACUGGGUAUAAAGGGAGCGCAGGCGGAUCUGUCAGUCAGGGGUGAAAUCCUACAGCUUAACUGUAGAACUGCCUUUGAUACUGCAGAUCUUGAGAUCGGAAGAGAGAGACGGAAUUCCAGGUGUAGUGGUGAAAUACGUAGAUAUCUGGAAGAACACCGAUGGCGAAGGCAGUCUCUUGGUCCGCAUCUGACGCUGAGGCUCGAAAGCGUGGGGAGCAAACAGGAUUAGAUACCCCGGUAGUCC